GUCUUGGCACAGUGGUAAUGCGUCUCACUCGUAUGCAUAUGAGUCUUACGCCCAUGAGAAGAUCAGUGGUUCGAUUCCACUAGGGGGCA